rnacentral:rRNA from 1 species
GGAGUUACGCCGCGUGAGUGAUGAAGGUUUUCGGAUCGUAAAACUCUGUUGUUAGGGAAGAACAAGUGCCAUAGUAACUGAUGGCACCUUGACGGUACCUAACCAGAAAGCCACGGCUAACUACGUGCCAGCAGCCGCGGUAAUACGUAGGUGGCAAGCGUUGUCCGGAAUUAUUGGGCGUAAAGCGCUCGCAGGCGGUUCUUUAAGUCUGAUGUGAAAUCUUACGGCUCAACCGUAAACGUGCAUUGGAAACUGGGGAACUUGAGUGCAGAAGAGGAGAGUGGAAUUCCACGUGUAGCGGUGAAAUGCGUAGAGAUGUGGAGGAACACCAGUGGCGAAGGCGACUCUCUGGUCUGUAACUGACGCUGAGGAGCGAAAGCGUGGGGAGCGAACAGGAUUAGAUACCCUGGUAGUCCACGCCGUAAACGAUGAGUGCUAGGUGUUAGGGGGUUUCCG